rnacentral:rRNA from 1 species
AGGUCUUGACAUCCCGAUGCCCGCUCUAGAGAUAGAGUUUUACGUUUAGUACAUCGGUGACAGGUGGUGCAUGGUUGUCGUCAGCUCGUGUCGUGAGAUGUUGGGUUAAGUCCCGCAACGAGCGCAACCCCUAUUGUUAGUUGCCAUCAUUGAGUUGGGCACUCUAGCGAGACUGCCGGUAAUAAACCGGAGGAAGGUGGGGAUGACGUCAAAUCAUCAUGCCCCUUAUGACCUGGGCUACACACGUGCUACAAUGGCUGGUACAACGAGUCGCGAGUCGGUGACGGCAAGCAAAUCUCUUAAAGCCAGUCUCAGUUCGGAUUGUAGGCUGCAACUCGCCUACAUGAAGUCGGAAUCGCUAGUAAUCGCGGAUCAGCACGCCGCGGUGAAUACGUUCCCGGGCC